rnacentral:rRNA from 1 species
GACGAACGCUGGCGGCGUGCUUAACACAUGCAAGUCGAACGGAAAGGCCCUGCUUUUGUGGGGUGCUCGAGUGGCGAACGGGUGAGUAACACGUGAGUAACCUGCCCUUGACUUUGGGAUAACUUCAGGAAACUGGGGCUAAUACCGGAUAGGAGCUCCUGCUGCAUGGUGGGGGUUGGAAAGUUUCGGCGGUUGGGGAUGGACUCGCGGCUUAUCAGCUUGUUGGUGGGGUGGUGGCUUACCAAGGCUUUGACGGGUAGCCGGCCUGAGAGGGUGGCCGGCCACAUUGGGACUGAGAUACGGCCCAGACUCCUACGGGAGGCAGCAGUGGGGAAUAUUGCACAAUGGGCGGAAGCCUGAUGCAGCAACGCCGCGUGCGGGAUGACGGCCUUCGGGUUGUAAACCGCUUUCGCCUGUGACGAAGCGUGAGUGACGGUAAUGGGUAAAGAAGCACCGGCUAACUACGUG